rnacentral:rRNA from 1 species
AUCAAAAAUAAUACUCUGAAAACACAUCAGAUCCUACAUGAUCUUGGAAGGUAAGCAGAGUCCGGCUUAGUACUGGAAUGGAGGACUGCUAAGGAGUAGCUGAUGCUAUAGGUU